CGGACGCAGAUUCAGUGACAUUCCCCCGUGACAUUCUCGGUGACAUUCAGUCAUUGACAUGUGGGACCCACAUGUGCCUGGACCCACAUGUCAGUGACUCAAUGUCACCGAGAAUGUCACGGGGAAAUGUCACCG
rnacentral:pre_miRNA from 1 species